GGGGAUGGCCCCGCGGUGCAUUAGCUAGUUGGUAAGGUAAAGGCUUACCAAGGGCGAUGAUGCAUAGCCCGAGUUGAGAGACUGAUCGGCCACAUUGGGGACUGAGACACGGGCCCAAACUCCUACGGGAGGCAGCAGUAGGGAAUCUUCCGCAAUGGGACGCAAGUCUGAUGGAGCAAACGCCGCGUGAGUGAAGAAGGUUUUCGGAUCGUAAAGCUCUGUUGUUGGUGAAGAAGGAUAGAGGUAGUAACUGGCCCUUUAUUUGACGGUAAUCAACCAGAAAGUCACGGGCUAACUACGUGCCAGCAGCCGCGGUAAAU
rnacentral:rRNA from 1 species